rnacentral:rRNA from 1 species
UACAGAGGUCCCGAGCGUUGUUCGGAUUCAUUGGGCGUAAAGGGUGCGUAGGUGGCGCUGUAAGUGGGGUGCGAAAUCCCGGGGCUUAACCCCGGGACUGCAUUCCAUACUGCGGUGCUUGAGGACUGGAGAGGAGACUGGAAUUUACGGUGUAGCAGUGAAAUGCGUAGAGAUCGUAAGGAAGACCAGUGGCGAAGGCGGGUCUCUGGACAGUUCCUGACACUGAGGCACGAAGGCCAGGGGAGCAAACGGG